UCGCCGUCCUCCUCCUAUCACAAUCAUAAGCAAAGGUACCAAACACUCUCGCGAGCUGUUGAAUCUGGCCGAUAUCCCGCAGUUCGGUUACCAACUGAAAAAACCUGGGCAAAGGCACAACCUUGUUAUCAGCUUGACUGCUGUCAGGUCUCGGGGCUUAAAUGUAUCUUUACUCUGAAGAGAAAGAUGCACACUAGUGGUGCCAAUGGUGAUUAUAAUCAAGAGUGUUUUCUAAUGAACACUAUUGAUUAGCAUCACCGAGAACCGAUACUCUACGUGGUCUAUGAUGAAGCGGUCCUUGUUUGUUUUUUCUAUACGUUUUUUAUUUAUGCUUCCAGACACUCAUCCGGUAACAGUUUAAUCAAAACCUCCUAACAUUGAAGAAAUCGUGCUGAACAGGAACACGCAUCGACGUACAAGGAUACAACAGAAUCUUAUUAAACCCGUUUCAUUUACUAAUCAUACCACUAUUUACUAAUUUACUAAUUAUAUCAUUCUCUUCUCGUCAACAAGCGUCAUUUCAGGAUUAGGGUUUUCAUUAUAGCAUUGAAUAUACUAUAAAAAUGCCGUCAGAGGAAAAAAACGUGUGACUAAUCGCUAUCUCUAUUUAUAGGUACCCGUAACCGUGAAUAGGAAUAGUAACUCAUGAGAAAAAUACUAGGAUAUAAAUCCUAGUAAUGACAUAUUAUCGGCGCGGUAAAAAUAGAAACAGUUUAUUCGCUGAGGUUGAAUUUUUGUAAGUGUAAGUGAUUAUAGUAUAAUCUGUACUUGUGAUUGCUGUGCGAUGCGCUUCGUUGUUGCAGGACAUUGUUCUCAUUAUUAUACGGCCUUCAGCCCUCGGCGGGAUCACCUUAAGAAGAUAUAUGAAUAAUUCCGUAGCUGGUUUUGAUCAUGUUACUAAGAAAAUAGUGAUAAUGUGAUAAUGUAGUGAGAUGACGUUAUUGUGUCGAAUAAUUUUAUGUGGUUAAUGGUAGUAAGCUACUAAGGUUGUGAUUAUUAGAGUGAUGAUAGUUUGUGAUAUUUUGAAUAUUAGUGAUAUAAGAAACGAGAAUCCUACUUUUAUUUUAAUGAAGAUAAUGAUAUUGGUGUUGAUGUGAUUUAUUUAUUACAGUGAUUAUUUUUAAUGAGAAGUUUUAUACUUUAAACUUGAUGAAGCAGUAGUAUUGUGUUGUGACUGGGUUAUAGAUGUGAUGUUAAUAAUAAAAUUAAUAUGGAUAAUGGUGACGUUGUUAGUAGAAAUUCUGUUGAUAAUGAAGAUGGUGAUAUCAAUACCAGUGAAUAGUGCUAUGAAGUAAUCUAAUAGUUAUCAAGUGAAGUGAUAGUGUGAAAAGAACGUUUCCCACCUUCUACCGUAACCUUCUGAGACAGAUCGCAACAGUGUCUUCUUGGAAGCCAUCUUUCCGUGCACGUCUGGUGAACUGCUUCAGAAGGAUUACGUCCUCUUUACUAUCUAAAGUCUAGUUUAGAGCUUUGAACAGUAUUCACUGUACGGCUAGCAACAUAAAAAAAAAAAAAAAAAAAAAAAAAAAAAAAAA